UACGAGGGGGGCGAGCGUUGUUCGGAAUUAUUGGGCGUAAAGGGUGCGUAGGCGGCCUGACAAGUCUGAUGUGAAAUCCCUGGGCUCAACCCAGGGCCUGCAUUGGAAACUGUCGGGCUUGAGUAUGGGAGAGGUGAGUGGAAUUUCCGGUGUAGCGGUGAAAUGCGUAGAUAUCGGAAGGAACACCUGUGGCGAAAGCGGCUCACUGGACCAUUACUGACGCUGAGGCACGAAAGCUAGGGGAGCAAACAGG
rnacentral:rRNA from 1 species